rnacentral:rRNA from 1 species
UACAGAGGUCUCAAGCGUUGUUCGGAUUCAUUGGGCGUAAAGGGUGCGUAGGCGGCGCGGUAAGUCGGGGUGUGAAAUCUCAGAGCUCAACUCUGAAACUGCACUCGAUACUGCUUCGCUUGAGGACUGGAGAGGAGAUUGGAAUUCACGGUGUAGCAGUGAAAUGCGUAGAUAUCGUGAGGAAGACCAGUGGCGAAAGGCGGAUCUCUGGACAGUUCCUGACGCUGAGGCGCGAAGGCCAGGGGAGCAAACGGG